rnacentral:rRNA from 1 species
GACGAACGCUGGCGGCGUGCUUAACACAUGCAAGUCGAACGGAAAGGCCCUGCUUUUGUGGGGUGCUCGAGUGGCGAACGGGUGAGUAACACGUGAGUAACCUGCCCUUGACUUUGGGAUAACUUCAGGAAACUGGGGCUAAUACCGGAUAGGAGCUCCUGCUGCAUGGUGGGGGUUGGAAAGUUUCGGCGGUUGGGGAUGGACUCGCGGCUUAUCAGCUUGUUGGUGGGGUAGUGGCUUACCAAGGCUUUGACGGGUAGCCGGCCUGAGAGGGUGACCGGCCACAUUGGGAAUGAGAUACGGCCCAGAAUCCUACGGGAGGGAGCAGUGGGGAAUAUUGCACAAUGGGCGGAAGCCUGAUGCAGCAACGCCGCGUGCGGGAUGACGGCCUUCGGGUUGUAAACCGCUUUCGCCUGUGACGAAGCGUGAGUGACGGUAAUGGGUAAAGAAGCACCGGCUAACUACGUG